GGAGGCUCACUCUGAUUGCAGAGGUUGGGGAAGAGAUACUAGAUGGAAGCCCUUCAGGAGGCCCUUGCCAUGAUCCAGGAUCCAAGUAAAUUCUAGUGGGCAAGAGGAAGAGAAGAGAAACUACAACAUCAUUAUCUUACUGCUGGAGGCAGCAGAUUACGGAGCCCUGCCUGUGUUGUGUCAAAUGCACUAUGUGACAACCAAGACCCUACACAACCAGGGGGCACUUCAGGAUUCCUCCAGGUGGCAGUUGCUGGCCUAGACUCACUUCUUCAGGAGGGAGGUUCGCCCUGGAAAGCUGAUCUGCAUUUCUGCUGGGAUCGAUGCCGUGGAGACUGAAUACAUUGAGUUCUCUGGUUGAAAGAAAAAAGUGCAACCUGGCUUCUGAAUUCCAAGAACACACUACACAGUGGGUCUAAAUCAACCUCUGGUAAUGAAGGGCCUGGAGCCAGAUAUGAGCUUCUUGGAGCUUUUGGCAGUUUCUGGUGGAGGUCAGCUAUCCUUGUCAUCUACCUUGGCCUCUCUGUAGGGGAUGAGCUCAGGGCUACACUUUUCCUUCCAGGUUCUCAUGGUGUGGUCCGGGCUCCAUUUCUUUCUCUUUGAACCUCACUUCAACAUGAUUAGAGUGACCGAAGGUAAAGAAAUAGGAACUGUUUUACUGUAAAUAAGUUAGUCCCUGCUA